rnacentral:rRNA from 1 species
UGGGGAAUUUUGCACAAUGGGGGAAACCCUGAUGCAGCGACGCCGCGUGAUUUAGAAGGCCUUCGGGUUGUAAAAAUCUUUUGUAUGGGAAGAAAAUGACAGUACCAUACGAAUAAGGACCGGCUAAUUACGUGCCAGCAGCCGCGGUAAUACGUAGGGGGCCAGCGUUAUCCGGAUUUACUGGGCGAAAAGGGUGCGUAGGUGGUCUUUGAAGUCGGUGGUUAAAGGCUACGGCUCAACCGUAGUUAGCCUCCGAAACUGGAAGACUUGAUUGCAGUAGAGGAAGGUGGAAUUCCCAGUGUAGCGGUGAAAUGCUUAGAUAUUGGGAGGAACACCAGUAGCGAAGGCGGCUUUCUGGACUGCAACUGACACUGAGGCACGAAGGCGUGGGUAGCAAACAGG